CACUUAAAAAGAAAAUAUUAGUAAUUGUGUGCUUCAAUGUUUGGUCAUCAUCAAAAUCACUUGGGGGGCAAUAAUCUCUUCUUUUUUGAUGAUGAUAAAAUAUUAAGCACUCAUUAAAGAAUACUUACUAUGAUCAAGAUGUAUAAUAUGUAUGAUUUAAUUACAUGACAGUCAAAUACAUUAAGUUUUCAUAUUUUUCAAAUUUUUAAAAAUAUUUUAGAUUUUCAAUAAUGCUCCCCC
rnacentral:lncRNA from 1 species